CGCGGUGAAUACGUUCCCGGGUCUUGUACACACCGCCCGUCAAGCCAUGGAAGCUGGGUGUACCUAAAGUCGGUAACCGCAAGGAGCCGCCUAGGGUAAAACUAGUAACUGGGGGCU
rnacentral:rRNA from 1 species